rnacentral:rRNA from 1 species
GACGAACGCUGGCGGCGUGCCUAAUACAUGCAAGUUGAGCGCUGAAGGUUGGUACUUGUACCAACUGGAUGAGCAGCGAACGGGUGAGUAACGCGUGGGGAAUCUGCCUUUGAGCGGGGGACAACAUUUGGAAACGAAUGCUAAUACCGCAUAAAAACUUUAAACACAAGUUUUAAGUUUGAAAGAUGCAAUUGCAUCACUCAAAGAUGAUCCCGCGUUGUAUUAGCUAGUUGGUGAGGUAAAGGCUCACCAAGGCGAUGAUACAUAGCCGACCUGAGAGGGUGAUCGGCAACAUUGGGACUGAGAAACGGCCAAAACUCCUACGGGGGGCAGCAGAAGGAAUCUUCGGCAAUGGACGAAAGUCUGACCGAGCAACGCCGCGUGAGUGAAGAAGGUUUUCGGAUCGUAAAACUCUGUUGGUAGAGAAGAACGUUGGUGAGAGUGGAAAGCUCAUCAAGUGACGGUAACUACCCAGAAAGGGACGGCUAACUACGUG